UGCGUAGGCGGAAUAUUAAGUCUGUGGUGAAAUCCUGCGGCUCAACCGUAGAACUGCCAUUGAUACUGAUAUUCUUGAAUGUAGUUGAGGUAGGCGGAAUGUGUAAUGUAGCGGUGAAAUGCUUAGAUAUUACACAGAACACCGAUUGCGAAGGCAGCUUACUAAACUAUGAUUGACGCUGAGGCACGAAAGCGUGGGGAGCGAACAGGAUUAGAUACCCUGGUAGUC
rnacentral:rRNA from 1 species